AAAUUGAAGAGUUUGAUCAUGGCUCAGAUUGAACGCUGGCGGCAGGCCUAACACAUGCAAGUCGAACGGUAACAGAAAGCAGCUUGCUGCUUUGCUGACGAGUGGCGGACGGGUGAGUAAUGUCUGGGAAACUGCCUGAUGGAGGGGGAUAACUACUGGAAACGGUAGCUAAUACCGCAUAACGUCGCAAGACCAAAGAGGGGGACCUUCGGGCCUCUUGCCAUCGGAUGUGCCCAGAUGGGAUUAGCUAGUAGGUGGGGUAACGGCUCACCAAGGCGACGAUCCCUAGCUGGUCUGAGAGGAUGACCAGCCACACUGGAACUGAGACACGGUCCAGACUCCUACGGGAGGCAGCAGUGGGGAAUAUUGCACAAUGGGCGCAAGCCUGAUGCAGCCAUGCCGCGUGUAUGAAGAAGGCCUUCGGGUUGUAAAGUACUUUCAGCGGGGAGGAAGGGAGUAAAGUUAAUACCUUU
rnacentral:rRNA from 1 species